UACGAGGGGGGCAAGCGUUGUUCGGAAUUAUUGGGCGUAAAGGGUGCGUAGGCGGUCUGAUAAGUCAUCUGUGAAAUCUAUGGGCUCAACCCAUAGUCUGCAGGCGAAACUGUCGGGCUUGAGUAUGGGAGAGGUGAGUGGAAUUUCCGGUGUAGCGGUGAAAUGCGUAGAUAUCAGGAGGAACACCGGUGGUGUAAACGGCUUUCUGGACCAUUUCUGACGCUGAGGCACGAAAGCGUGGGUAGCAAACAGG
rnacentral:rRNA from 1 species